rnacentral:rRNA from 1 species
GUGGGGAAUAUUGGACAAUGGGCGAAAGCCUGAUCCAGCCAUGCCGCGUGUGUGAAGAAGGUCUUCGGAUUGUAAAGCACUUUAAGUUGGGAGGAAGGGCAGUAAGUUAAUACCUUGCUGUUUUGACGUUACCGACAGAAUAAGCACCGGCUAACUUCGUGCCAGCAGCCGCGGUAAUACGAAGGGUGCAAGCGUUAAUCGGAAUUACUGGGCGUAAAGCGCGCGUAGGUGGUUUUGUAAGUUGGAGGUGAAAUCCCCGGGCUCAACCUUGGAACUGCCUCCAAAACUGCAUGACUAGAGUACGGUAGAGGGUAGUGGAAUUUCCUGUGUAGCGGUGAAAUGCGUAGAUAUAGGAAGGAACACCAGUGGCGAAGGCGACUACCUGGACUGAUACUGACACUGAGGUGCGAAAGCGUGGGGAGCAAACAGGAUUAGAAACCCGGGUAGUCC